CCACUGCUUGGAUACAGCCUUGAAUCUUAGCAGAGAUUUCGCCGGAGCUCUCUCGAGUAUGUGCUCUACUACAUGGUGAGGUUAAGGAGGGCAAAAUAAAUCGGACCACCAUCAACAACAUUCCUUACUCGCAAGUAAAAGGUUGAGGAAGACAUGUUCUCUGACUAUGACGAGGGCAUAAACAGCCCCUUAAACUAUAGUUCCGAUACCGAAGAUGAGGCUGAGACCUGUUACUAUGAACCGCAACCAUCAACCGAGAUUGGACCACUACAUAGUCUGUCGAACCGUGAAGCUGAACCACUACCUAGUCUGUCAAACCGUGAUGCUCAACCCAAGGACGAAGUGAUCCAACUCAAGGACCAAGUGAUCCAGCUCAACGACCAAAUGAUCCAGCUCAAGGUACUUGUGAUCCAGCUCAAAGAUCAAGUGAUCCAGCUCAAGGACCGAGUGAUCCAGCUGACGGACAAAGUGAACCAGCUCAAGUAAAUUAUUGUGUUGGAUAAUUGGGUUGUUGUUGCUUCCGUAUGGUCUUGAAAAGAUGUUUGGUUGUUGUUGUUUCUUUUGGUGUUGCAACCCGUGAUAUUGGUUGUUGUUGUUUCUUUUCGAAUUAUGAACCCGUGAUGUUUUGUUUGGAAUUUUGUUUAGGCUAGGUUGAUAUGUUUAGUUUGGUGAACCCGUGAUGUACUCUGUCGUGAACCCGUGAUGUUUUGUUUGGAAUUUGCC